rnacentral:rRNA from 1 species
UACGUAGGGGGCUAGCGUUGUCCGGAUUUAUUGGGCGUAAAGAGCUCGUAGGCGGUUCGGUAAGUCGGAUGUGAAAUCUCCAGGCUCAACUUGGAGGGGUCAUCCGAUACUGCCGUGACUGGAGUUCGGUAGAGGAGUGUGGAAUUCCCAGUGUAGAGGUGAAAUUCGUAGAUAUUGGGAAGAACACCGGUGGCGAAGGCGGCUCUCUGGACCGAGACUGACGCUGAGGCGCGAAAGCGUGGGGAGCAAACAGG